UAGGAUCGGCUAACUCCGUGCCAGCAGCCGCGGUAAUACGGAGGAUCCGAGCGUUAUCCGGAUUUAUUGGGUUUAAAGGGUGCGUAGGUGGACCGGUCAGUCAGUGGUGAAAGUUUGCAGCUUAACUGUAAAAUUGCCGUUGAAACUGCCUGUCUUGAGUGCAAAUGAGGUAAGCGGAAUGUGUUGUGUAGCGGUGAAAUGCUUAGAUAUGACACAGAACACCGAUUGCGAAGGCAGCUUACUGGGAUGCAACUGACACUGAGGCACGAAGGCGUGGGGAUCAAACAGGAUUAGAUACCCUGGUAGUCCACGCAGUAAACGAUGAAUACUAGUUGUCUGCGAUAUAUUGUAGGUGACACAGCGAAAGCGUUAAGUAUUCCACCUGGGGAGUACGUUCGCAAGAAUGAAACUCAAAGGAAUUGACGGGGGCCCGCACAAGCGGAGGAACAUGUGGUUUAAUUCGAUGAUACGCGAGGAACCUUACCCGGGCUUGAAAUGCAGAAGACCGAAGUGGAAACACUUCUUCCAGCAAUGGCUUCUGUGUAGGUGCUGCAUGGUUGUCGUCAGCUCGUGCCGUGAGGUGUCGGCUUAAGUGCCAUAACGAGCGCAACCCUUGCCGGUAGUUACUAUCAGGUCAUGCUGAGGACUCUACCGGGACUGCCAUCGUAAGAUGCGAGGAAGGUGGGGAUGACGUCAAAUCAGCACGGCCCUUACGUCCGGGGCGACACACGUGUUACAAUGGGUGGUACAGCGGGUUGCUACCGGGUGACCGGAUGCCAAUCUCUUAAAUCCACUCUCAGUUCGGAUCGAAGUCUGCAACUCGACUUCGUGAAGCUGGAUUCGCUAGUAAUCGCGCAUCAGCCACGGCGCGGUGAAUACGUUCCCGGGCCUUGUACACACCGCCCGUCAAGCCAUGGAAGCCGGGGGGACCUGAAGUACGUGACCGAUUAAAAGGAGCGUCCUAGGGUAAAACCGGUGACUGGGGCUAAGUCGUAACAAGGUAACA
rnacentral:rRNA from 1 species